GAAAAAGUCUAUAUAGAGAGGAGAAUCGGAGAAAGCGAAUCCGUCCGGGACGGCGCGGCGAGUUGUCGCCGCCCGUGGAGUCGCGCGCGUACGAUUCGACGGCGCCGCGACGAGAGUCGCGAUCGUUAGAUCUUUCUUUUCUUUUCUUUUUUUUCCCCCUGUCCAAUGUCGACGUUACCACGCGUGUAUUGCACGCACACGCACCCCCCCUCGCGACUUCGACGUCGUUUUACGUGAGGGCGCUAUGAAUUUCGAUUCGAAUUCGAGGUUAGGAACGGACGAUGCGAAUGCGUGCGAGCGAACGACGUUUAACGAUGUCGUUCUCAGUCUCCCAUAUUUUUUUCCUCUCUCACAACAGUCGCGCACGUCGAGUCGGUCGAGUGGCACGAAUCUGCAUUAGAUAUCGGGGAGCGCGUUGUGUACAAAGGGACUGACACUUCUGAGCCUUUUCGCAUUUUCAAAUAGCAUCCCGAAGUUGACCGCACGUACUGCGGACCAAUAAGCGUUUGGCGAUACAAAAUCCACUGAUUGCCGCCGUGAGCCCCCCUCCCCCUCUAAUUCGAUCGCAUGCUUGUUUGUUGACCUUCAGCUCCGUCUUUUCGCGCGGUAGAGGUCAACUUGCCUCUGACUCCUCUUGCUUGAUCGUUCGAAUGCGAGUGUACGGUGUUUGUGCUGCCUGAUCAUACAACAUAUCAUUUUGUGCUCUCCGUCGCCAACGUAGCACGCAUAUAAGAUUUUGCUUAUACGUAGUAAAAUGUUGGCAAGCACUGUGAUAUCAUUUUUCUAAUAAAUCAUCCAUACCAAUCAGCUUAGAAGCGUAUAAUUAAAUUUAUUCGCAUUAACAAUGGUACGGAGAAUGAGACGCUUUGU